GGCGGGGUAGCUCAGAUGGUUAGAGCGUAGGAUUCAUAACCCUAAGGUCGGCAGUUCGAUCCUGCUCCCCGCUACAA
rnacentral:tRNA from 5 species